rnacentral:rRNA from 1 species
CCUACGGGAGGCAGCAGUAGGGAAUAUUUCUCAAUGGGGGAAACCCUGAAGCAGCAACGCCGCGUGGAGGAUGAAGGUUUUCGGAUUGUAAACUCCUUUUGUUAGAGAAGAUAAUGACGGUAUCUAACGAAUAAGCACCGGCUAACUCCGUGCCAGCAGCCGCGGUAAUACGGAGGGUGCAAGCGUUACUCGGAAUCACUGGGCGUAAAGAGUGCGUAGGCGGGAUAGCAAGUCAGAUGUGAAAUCCUAUGGCGUAACCAUAGAACUGCAUUUGAAACUGUUAUUCUAGAGAAUGGGAGAGGUAAGUGGAAUUCUUGGUGUAGGGGUAAAAUCCGUAGAGAUCAAGAGGAAUACUCAUUGCGAAGGCGACCUACUAGAACAUAACUGACGCUGAUGCGCGAAAGCGUGGGGAGCAAACAGGAUUAGAUACCCUUGUAGUC